rnacentral:rRNA from 1 species
UACGUAGGCAGCAAGCGUUGUUCGGAAUUACUGGGCGUAAAGAGUGUGUAGGCGGUUCUCUAUGUUCGGUGUGAAAUCUCCCGGCUUAACUGGGAGGGUGCGCCGAAAACUGAGGGAGCUUGAGUAUGGGAGAGGAAAGCGGAAUUCCUGGUGUAGCGGUGAAAUGCGUAGAGAUCCGGAAGAACACCGGAGGCGAAGGCGGCUUGCUGGGCGUGAUCUGACGCUGAGGCGCGAAAGCGUGGGGAGCGAACAGG